UCCAAACGUUAAGUAGGCUGGUGAAAAGC
rnacentral:sRNA from 1 species